rnacentral:rRNA from 1 species
CCUACGGGAGGCAGCAGUGGGGGAUAUUGCACAAUGGGGGAAACCCUGAUGCAGCGACGCCGCGUGUGGGAAGACGGUCCUCUGGAUUGUAAACCACUGUCCCCAGGGACGAAGAUGACGGUACCUGGGGAGGAAGCUCUGGCUAACUACGUUCCAGCAGCCGCGGUAAUACGUAGGGAGCGAGCGUUGUCCGGAAUUACUGGGUGAAAAGGGAGCGUAGGCGGGACUGCAAGUUGGGUGUCAAAUCUACCGGCUCAACCGGUAGCCGCACUCAAAACUGCAGUUCUUGAGUGAAGUAGAGGCAGGCGGAAUUCCUAGUGUAGCGGUGAAAUGCGUAGAUAUUAGGAGGAACACCAGUGGCGAAGGCGGCCUGCUGGGCUUUUACUGACGCUGAGGCUCGAAAGUGUGGGGAGCAAACAGGAUUAGAUACCCCAGUAGUC